rnacentral:rRNA from 1 species
AGCACCGGCUAACUACGUGCCAGCAGCCGCGGUAAUACGUAGGGUGCAAGCGUUAUCCGGAAUUAUUGGGCGUAAAGGGCUCGUAGGCGGUUCGUCGCGUCCGGUGUGAAAGUCCAUCGCUUAACGGUGGAUCUGCGCCGGGUACGGGCGGGCUGGAGUGCGGUAGGGGAGACUGGAAUUCCCGGUGUAACGGUGGAAUGUGUAGAUAUCGGGAAGAACACCAAUGGCGAAGGCAGGUCUCUGGGCCGUUACUGACGCUGAGGAGCGAAAGCGUGGGGAGCGAACAGGAUUAGAUACCCUGGUAGUCCACGCCGUAAACGGUGGAUGCUGGAUGUGGGGCCCGUUCCACGGGUUCCGUGUCGGAGCUAACGCGUUAAGCAUCCCGCCUGGGGAGUACGGCCGCAAGGCUAAAACUCAAAGAAAUUGACGGGGGCCCGCACAAGCGGCGGAGCAUGCGGAUUAAUUCGAUGCAACGCGAAGAACCUUACCUGGGCUUGACAUGUUCCCGACAGCCGUAGAGAUACGGUCUCCCUUCGGGGCGGGUUCACAGGUGGUGCAUGGUCGUCGUCAGCUCGUGUCGUGAGAUGUUGGGUUAAGUCCCGCAACGAGCGCAACCCUCGCCCUGUGUUGCCAGCACGUCAUGGUGGGAACUCACGGGGGACCGCCGGGGUCAACUCGGAGGAAGGUGGGGAUGACGUCAGAUCAUCAUGCCCCUUACGUCCAGGGCUUCACGCAUGCUACAAUGGCCGGUACAACGGGAUGCGACAUGGCGACAUGGAGCGGAUCCCUGAAAACCGGUCUCAGUUCGGAUUGGAGUCUGCAACCCGACUCCAUGAAGGCGGAGUCGCUAGUAAUCGCGGAUCAGCAACGCCGCGGUGAAUGCGUUCCCGGGCCUUGUACACACCGCCCGUCAAGUCAUGAAAGUGGGUAGCACCCGAAGCCGGUGGCCUAACCCCUUGUGGGAUGGAGCCGUCUAAGGUGAGACUCGUGAUUGGGACUAAGUCGUAACAAGGUAGCCGUACCGGAAGGUGCGGCUG